rnacentral:lncRNA from 14 species
CUCCAACAAACAAAAAACAUUCUCAGUAUGGCAUUAUUAAACUGAUGUUUCAGCUAAAGGGAAGCAGCGCCCUCAAGGAAAAGCUGUCUUGCUUUCAUGUUCAUAAAUGUAAUCCCUUUCUUUUAAUGCUCUUUCAAGAACAGAAUAAAACUGGCAAGAAAAGAUAGCAUACAUCUUUCAAAGGUUGUUUUUGUGAGCCUCAGGCAGAACGACCAGGUCAUUGCUAGGGACAGUUAUAACCAGUCUCUGAUGCCUUUAAGUGUUAAUUAAUUGUGAGACAAAGGAACUUACAGAAUCCAGUGUUACCUGAAGUCAGAUGUUUUUAAAUACUGCAGUAUUCUUGCACAGCCUUCCUUUAAACAGUAGCGUGCUCUUGAUUUGGGAAGACACAUCCUAGUGCCCACAGCAGGCUGGUUUGAGGAUUAUUGCCAUGCUCUCCUGCAUACAUGCCUAAACCACGGGGAAACUCCACCAUCCGUAGCAACUCAGCCAGGCAACACCUGGGACCACUCUUAGGGCAGCCAUGAGCCAUCUAGAUACAAGGCAGAGGAAGACUUUGUCACCAGCACCGAGGCCACAGCACGCUACUGCUCAGCUGAGGCAAACAGAGUCUCUACAGAACACUUCGAACUCUCACCUGGCUGAGACACCCCACAUCUCUAAAGGUUACUAACUUCCCAUAGGCCGGCAUAAAUAGCAGCUUAACCCGGGCCAGGGAAAGGCCGAAACCUCAGGUCUCCCUCUCCGAGCGGUGGCAGCCAGGACGCGGCGGGGAGGCGCAGCCGGGCAGGGCUCCCCUCACCUCACGGGAGCGGGCACCCAUCACCAGAGGCCAGGCUCCCCGCCCGCGGCACUCACGGCAGUGAGCGGUACUGUGAAGCGCCGACAGCUCGGUGACAGACAUUCCUACUCCACGAAACGAGAGAAGCGGAAGAAGGGAGACACAUUGGUUCAGGGCGGAAGUCCCGUGAGGCCGGCCGCCUCCUUUAUUGCCGGGAGUGGGAAGGAGGUCUUUGGAAGCAAACGCUGA